UACGGAGGGUGCAAGCAUUAAUCGGAUUUACUGGGCGUAAAGGGUGCGUAGGCGGACGGAUAAGUCAGAUGUGAAAUCCCGGUACUCAAUACCGGAACGGCAUUUGAAACUGCCUGUCUUGAGGGUAGACGGAGAGAACAGAAUUCCACGUGUAGCGGUGAAAUGCGUAGAUAUGUGGAAGAAUACCGGUGGCGAAGGCGGUUCUCUAGUUUAUUACUGACGCUGAUGCACGAGAGCGUGGGGAGCAAACAGG
rnacentral:rRNA from 1 species